rnacentral:rRNA from 1 species
CAUGCAGUCGACGAUGAACCGGUUUCGGCCGGGGAUUAGUGGCGAACGGGUGAGUAACACGUGGGCAAUCUGCCCUGCACUCUGGGACAAGCCCUGGAAACGGGGUCUAAUACCGGAUAUGACACAUGAGGGCAUCUUCGUGUGUGGAAAGCUCCGGCGGUGCAGGAUGAGCCCGCGGCCUAUCAGCUAGUUGGUGGGGUAGUGGCCUACCAAGGCGACGACGGGUAGCCGGCCUGAGAGGGCGACCGGCCACACUGGGACUGAGACACGGCCCAGACUCCUACGGGAGGCAGCAGUGGGGAAUAUUGCACAAUGGGCGAAAGCCUGAUGCAGCGACGCCGCGUGAGGGAUGACGGCCUUCGGGUUGUAAACCUCUUUCAGCAGGGAAGAAGCUUUCGGGUGACGGUACCUGCAGAAGAAGCACCGGCUAACUACGUGCCAGCAGCCGCGGUAAUACGUAGGGUGCGAGCGUUGUCCGGAAUUAUUGGGCGUAAAGAGCUCGUAGGCGGCUUGUCGCGUCGGUUGUGAAAGCCCGGGGCUUAACCCCGGGUCUGCAGUCGAUACGGGCAGGCUAGAGUUCGGUAGGGGAGAUCGGAAUUCCUGGUGUAGCGGUGAAAUGCGCAGAUAUCAGGAGGAACACCGGUGGCGAAGGCGGAUCUCUGGGGCCGAUACUGACGCUGAGGAGCGAAAGCGUGGGGGAGCGA